AAGGGAGCUGUGGCGUGACAAUAAGUUUUAGGAUGAACGGUCCAAAUUAGAAUAUUGAAAGAAAUAUGUUGUCAAAGAUAAAAAGAAAUUAGUUUUCACACUGAAGAUGUUCACAUAUUUUAUUACUUAACUAGUAUUCGCUGAAUUUCCAUUCCAACUAGUUGCCAUUUAUAAUAAUAUAUGCUAUGCUGAUAAAUGCUUCCACGGUGAAGGAAUAACAUCGUGUUAUAAAAAUCAAACCCACAAAAUUAUAAUGAUUUGCGUAAUUACUGGGGGUAGAACGUCUUGUGAGUCCGCAAGGGGAAGGUGCCUGCCUAUUUCGGCCGUGAAGCAGUAAUGCGAUUUUAUUUGAAGGGUGGAGCAGCCAUUGUACCUACUAUAUACUGAGAUCUUAGAACUCAUAACUCAAGUGUUGUUAAUAAAGCGCCAAGCACGUUGUGGCCGGGCAGCCGUUUGCCGAAGAGCAAUCGCUUUACCGAGUCGUCAUAUGUCAAGAGAGCCACCAUGUUCUGGAGAAGGAAGCCUUGGCAGUAUUCUAAGAGUUGCGAUGCUCCAUAUACCUGUCAAAUGUGCAUCUCCAACAAACCUUAGCGUGAAUAUAAACUGAGACGAGAUUGUGUAGAUCAACUGAUUUAGCGGCUCUGGCCUCGCAGUGCCUCUGUAGCGGCAACAGUUGGAAGAACGAAGCGGCUGCCAGCACCUCCAACACAUCAGUCUCGGGUAUGUCGAGCCCAGAGCAGCCGCCGGAAUACAGAUAUUUCAUUACUUGCUGUAAACAAUAGACAAAUUGAAUUCACAUUUAUGGUGGUGCUUGAUUAACCAUAUACGGUGUGUUUUUAUUUAUUUAUUUUUUAUUGCUUAGAUGACUGGACGGGCUCACAGUCCACCUGGUGUUAAGUGGUUACUGGAGCCCAUAGACAUCUACAACGUAAAUGCGCCACUCACCUUGAGAUAUAAGUUCUAAGGUCUCAGUAUAGUUACAGCGGCUGUCCCACCCUUCAAACCGAAACGCAUUACUGCUUCACGGCAGAAAUAGGCAGGGCGGUGGUACCUACCCGUGCGGACUCACAAGAGGUCCUACCACCAGUAAAAAUAUAUACUACUAUAUUUGUACUAAUAUAUUUGAUUAUUUAA